UUUGUUGUUCACUUUGGCUGAUCAGACGUCAACUCGACAUUAAGUUUUCUGUUAUGUAUUGAAGUCGUUCUGAUCUGCUGGCCACCGUAGUGAUUAGGAAUUGCACUAUUCUAGUUUUGUUAUAUGCCGGCCACCGUAGUUAGGAAGUUCGAGGUUGUUCCUGACUGUAAUGACACACGUUCGGAAAAUAGAUGCAUUCUGGGAAGUGAUGUGUUUCAAUGUAGGCUACUCGUGUUUCCUUCACUCAGACAUGUGUGCUGAUUCUUUUCCAAUUUUGAGCAAGGAUAUAAAAUAUGAAGACUGUACUUUUUCAUUAAGAUUGAUAUUUUUGCACAAUGUGUUGUGCUACGCGUAACGCGUCAUUGUAUGCGACGGUCUAAGGAGCAGUCCUAUGCGUCCACCCACCAUGCGUCCACCUGUCCACCACUAUUAUUUUUCUUUCAGAAACAAGUUGCAAGGUCAGAUGUGUUGUCCUCCUACCCCCAACUUCCGGUCCUAGUCCCAGUAGGCCCUUGUUGGUCUACCUGUGAGAGUACCUGAGCUACAUCUCUGAAGGUGAGCACUCGUACAGAGACACUAUUGAGUGCUAGUACGCAGAGGCACGGAUGCACAGAAGGUUAACCCAAGCAUAGAUGAGUACAGAAUCCACCCGACCAUGUUUUUGUAGGCUUUCACCACAACAGGCCUUAUG